rnacentral:tRNA from 1 species
ACUUAAAUAGUUUAAUUAAAAUAAAAGGUUGUGGUUCUUUUGAUGUAUAUAUUACUUUAGGUA